rnacentral:snRNA from 1 species
GGAUGUGAGGGCGAUCUGCGACAUCUGUCACCCCAUUGAUUGCCAGGGUUGAUUCUGAUUUGGCUGAUCUGGCUGGCCAGGUAGGUGUCGCCUUCCUCCCUCACUGCUCCAUGUGCAUCCCUCCCAAAGCUUCAUGCUCAGUGGAGGAAGAUGACCUUCCCUGAUAGAGGAGUACCAUUCUUCUUUGGUCAAGGGUAUAUGAGUAGCUGCGCUCCCCUGCUGGAACCUCCAAACAAGCUUUCAAAAUGCAGCAUGUAACUAUUUUUAAAANNNNNNNNN